UACAGAGGUCUCAAGCGUUGUUCGGAUUCAUUGGGCGUAAAGGGUGCGUAGGCGGCGCGGUAAGUCGGGUGUGAAAUCUCAGAGCUCAACUCUGAAACUGCACUCGAUACUGCUUUGCUUGAGGACUGGAGAGGAGAUUGGAAUUCACGGUGUAGCAGUGAAAUGCGUAGAUAUCGUGAGGAAGACCAGUGGCGAAGGCGGAUCUCUGGACAGUUCCUGACGCUGAGGCACGAAGGUCAGGGGAGCAAACGGG
rnacentral:rRNA from 1 species